GCCCCCAUAGCUCAGCGGAUAGAGCGUUGCCCUCCGGAGGCAAAAGCCCAGGUUCGAGUCCUGGUGGGGGCA
rnacentral:tRNA from 1 species